GAACCUUACCAGCCCUUGACAUACCGGUCGCGGACACAGAGAUGUGUCUUUCAGUUCGGCUGGACCGGAUACAGGUGCUGCAUGGCUGUCGUCAGCUCGUGUCGUAAGAUGUUGGGUUAAGUCCCGCAACGAGCGCAACCCUCGCCCUUAGUUGCCAGCAUUUAGUUGGGCACUCUAGGGGGACUGCCGGUGAUAAGCCGAGAGGAAGGUGGGGAUGACGUCAAGUCCUCAUGGCCCUUACGGGCUGGGCUACACACGUGCUACAAUGGUGGUGACAGUGGGCAGCGAGCACGCGAGUGUGAGCUAAUCUCCAAAAGCCAUCUCAGUUCGGAUUGCACUCUGCAACUCGAGUGCAUGAAGUUGGAAUCGCUAGUAAUCGCGGAUCAGCAUGCCGCGGUGAAUACGUUCCCGGGCCUUGUACACACCGCCCGUCACACCAUGGGAGUUGGUUUUACCCGAAGGCGCUGUGCUAACCGCAAGGAGGCAGGCGACCACGGUAGGGUCAGCGACUGGGGUG
rnacentral:rRNA from 1 species